rfam:Culex pipiens quinquefasciatus supercont3.553 genomic scaffold, whole genome shotgun sequence.
GCCCGUGUGGACCAAUCGGACCGCGCACUGGACCCACAAUCCAGAGGUUGCUGGUUCGAAUCCCGCGGCGGGCG